rnacentral:lncRNA from 1 species
GCUUCCUUUCAUAGUCUUCUUUAGGUGGUGGUAAUUUGGCAAGAUUUUCAUCAAGAAAUCCAGCUGUAGUGUCUGGGGCUAAAAAGAUAAGGUAAUUAAGGCCGAUUGGCAGAAAGCAAAGUCAAGAGUACCACACAGCAACCAGGCGUGGUGGGUCAUGCCUGUAAUCUCAGCACUUUGGGAGGCCCAGACAGGAGGAUGAUUUGAGCUCAGGAGUUCCAGAACAGCCUGAGCAACAUAGGGAGAUCUUGUCACUAAAAAAAUUUAAAAAUUAGCUGUGUGUGGUGGCACACCCCUGUAGUCAUAGCUACUCAGGAGGCUGAGGUGGAAGCAGGGCGGCAGGGGUGCAGGUGGAUUGUUUGAGCCCAGGAGGUUGAGGCUGCAGUGAGCCAUGAUUACACCACUGCACUCCAGCCUGGGUGACAGAGCCAGACCCUGUCUCAAAGAAAAAAAAAAAAAAGUUCCAGGUAGCAAUGGUUAUUAAUAAGUUGUGGAAUUACAGGUGCUUUUCAUUGACUCAUUUUUGCUUACAUGCUUGUUUUUUUUUUUAAUUUAUAAGGAACAUAUACUAAGUUUGGUUACAAGAAAAAGCCAACAGAUUUUAUAUAUUUAUAUAAAAAUAUACAGAAAUCAGUUUUAAAACUCGCUUUUGUAGAUUUCACCCUGGCUUCUGAAAAGUUAAAAGUUCCGAUUACAGAAGACCACAUAAGUAAAACACCCAGAGUAUUUUGUUUUCCACGUGACCUACAGAGCCACACAGCUGAGGUGUACUUGUUGGUUACAUCUGUCUGAUCUUCACUCUUCAUAUACCAGUACUGCCCAGAUUUUCCUGAUUGUAAAACUCACUGCGGUACUUGUGAAAAAUAUAGAUUUUUAGGCCCCUGCCCUAGCACUGUGACUCAGUAAGUCUGGGGAAUCUUUAUUUUGAAUAAAGACCUCUACAUAAUCCUUAUGAUUAGUGAAAUUUAGGCAUAUUAUAAAAUAUAAAGCUUCAGAUAUUCUUGCUCACUUAAUUCUAAUCUCCCUUCCCCAACACAAGCUUCAUUUCCCACUCUUCAGUCAUUUUUGCUGUUAUGUAGAAAGUAAAACAAAUGACUGGAUUUGACCUUAUUUCCUUUUUAGUCUAUAGAGUAAUACUUGCUUAAAAUAAUAAUAAUAAUAAUGAAGCCAAACAUUACAGAAAUAGAGUAACCCAAAAAGAACUGGAGUUUUGAUUUCUGAUAAAAUAUGGCUAAGAAUCAGAAGCAAAGUUAUGUCUUGAAACUAUUCUUUUUUUUUUUUUUCUUUCCCAGGCUGGAGUGCAGUGGUACAAACAGCUUACUGCAGCCCUGACCUCCUGGGCUCAAGCGAUCCUCCCACCUCAGCCUCCAAAGUAGCUGGGACUACAGGUGAAUGCCACCAUGCCCAACUAAUUAUUUUUUAUUUUUUGUAGAGAUGGGGUCUCAUGAUGUUGCCCAGGCUGGUCUUAAACUCCUUCCUGGGCUCAAGUGAUCCGCCCGCCUUGGCCUCGCACAGUGCUUGAAACUAUUUUCUUUAGUGGGAGGAAAAGGAGGCUAGGUAACUAAAGAAAUAUAUAUUGAAUGUGCCAAGCAAUGAGGCUCGAAACUGCAAUACAAAUGUCUUAUGUCCAAAGGAAGCCCAAAUGUCCUAUCUUUUUCAUCUCCUACUCUAAUAUUAAACUCCAAAUAUGUACUCUACAUUAUUCUUGAUCUGAAUUUCUAGGAGGAGAUAAUUUCUCAAGCCAGGAAAAUAUCCAAACACAGUUUCUUAUUCACAAGCUGUGUUUAUUAUGAAGCUAUGGCAAUAAAUAGACACACCCCAGUUAGAGGCACAGGAUAAAUGUAGUAUGGUCAUUCCUUAACCUUGAAGACUGAUAUUUUAGGAGUAAAUCAAUAUGGCUUGUACAGUUUGUUUAUGCAUUGUCAGUGACAAUGCAUGAGACCAAGAGUAACAUUUCUGGAUCUUUUCUCAUAACUGACUUGUCAUUGUCAUCCUUGUAUAUAUUUUUGAUAUUAACCUAAAGACUAAAUAAUUGAACUGCAAUUAAAUCUUGGUUUUAGGGAUUGAACUGCAAUUAAAUCCUGGUUUUCGGGAUGUUUCUCAUUGUUUUCUUUUUAUUUAUUUAUUUUUUGAGUUGGGGUCUCUGUUGCUCAGGCUGGAGUGCAGUGGCAUGAUCAUGGCUCAUGGUAACCUCACACUCAAGAAUUAUCUUCCCACCUCAGCCUCCUCAGUAGCUGGACUAUAGUCAUGCCCCACCACACCUGGCUUAGUUUUUCUAGUGUUUGUAGAGACAGAGUCUCACUAUGUUGCCCAGGCUGCUCUUAAAUUCCUGCCCUCAAGUCAUCCUCCUGCCUCGGCCUCCCAAAGUGCUAGAAUUCCAGGCACGAGUCACUGAGACUGGCAUCUUUUGUUUUAUUUUAAUUAUGUUCUUAAAUAGUGUACCUGCUGCCUCAUGAAGACAAUUACAUUGUAUUUUGGGAAAAUCAGCAGAUAGAACUCUUUUUAAAGAGAGGUUCUAGUACCUGCGGUCGCUCAGUCUGCACCCGACGAAGGCAGUCUGCACCAUAGAUCACCGUAUUCUCAGGGAUGACUUCAAAUGUAUUUAGGUUGCAACAAGCCCCAAUGAUGCAGCCACUUGUCAAUAUUACAUUUCUGCCUACAUAUGCUGCAAUAAAAACACAGAAAGAACUGCAACUUAAGACAUCAAAUGAUUCCAACACUUUUUUUCUUAAGGUGAUUUAGGUAUAAAAAUGUAAACUGGCCUCAAGAAAAAAGUUAAAGAAAAUACAUCAGUUUGGAGUUUGUAUGGACAACACAGAGGCAGGCAGUACAAGCCAGGGUCAGAUGAAUUCAAAAUGGAGCUCUGCUGCUAUUUGUGUGACCUUGGGAAAGUCGCUGCAAAGUCUCUAAGCUCAAGUUCAUCUAUAAAACAAAGAGGCCACUCUACUUCACAGUUUAAGGAAUAAAUGUGAUAACAGAUGUAAAGUGAUGAGCACAGGUUUGACACACAGUAAGCAUAAAAUAAAUAGAAAAUGCUGAUGAUAAUAGUGAUAAUUGAUAAUCCAAAUUAAAAUAAAAGUCAUUAAGUAGAUUAACAAAAAGUGUAAUUUUAUUAUUUUAAAAAGAAGCAUUUUCUUUCGUGCCACUCAGGACCAAGAAAGAUAACCCACUAUUCUAAAGAAUUGUCAUCAUUCAGGUUUUUUCUGGACCUUGGUGGGACAAGCUCUUGAAGUUGCUUCCCAGUAGUGACAGUGACUUUAGGUAAUCUCCUGUCUGGUCCCACUUACAAGCACAUGAUAUUUGUUUCUGAUUGGCUAGGGAAAAGUAUUCCUGAAAUUAAAGAAAACAACUGCUACAGAAACUUUGAUUUUUCCCCCCCUUUAAUUCUACAACAACACUAACCAACUAAAAUUUCAGAGACUAGUAUUUAGUAGAAAUCUUUUCCAAAUCUUUCAUUUAAAGUUUAUGGUUUAAUUCAAUCCUGUACAUAGCUGAUUUUAAAUUUAAUGUAUUUAACAUUACCAGAUAACCACAUAACCAGAUUAGGUUCCUUAGUGGCAAACAAUUAGUUCGCCAGCUAUUGUAGCCCACUUCCAAGCACAACACCUUGCCACAGUUUCUAUUAGGUUGUUUCCCAGGACACCACAAAGAGAAAAGAGGUCACUGCUUUGACAAUGAAACUCUGAAUGUAGCUUACCUUUUGAUUCAAUGACAUUAUUAUCUCCCAUCUUCAUGGCUUGGGAAUCUGUAAGCCAGAGUUAGGUAAAUACUACAAAUAUGUUCAUCUUUAGUCCCCACUAACACAGUAUGUACUUACAUUGCACUGGGACAGAGGACAGGGGUGUCAGAUGGGCCAUGCAGGCUCACCCUUGCCAGAACUCUUUGCUCUGGGCAAUCUGUGGUAACGGUUUAAUCUUUAAACAUAAGUAUCUCUAGGUAUAAAUAAAUGACUUGUGUUUUUAAAGAAAUGAGCACCUUAUACCCUGAUUUUAUGAGUAAAAUAUUUUCAUAAUUGUUUCAAGAUAAUUAAAACUAUCCAUCACCCAAUCACUUAAACACUGUUAAAAGUUUGAUAUAUCUUUAUAUAAAUAUAUAGAAUUUCCUGUAUAUAAGUGGGAAUCAAACUGUAUAAACUUUUAUAGCUUAUUCAGUUCACUUAAAUUUGCAAGCAUUAUUCCACGCUAUUAAAAUCUUUAGGCCAGGCAGGGUGGCUCACAUCUGUAACCCCAGCACUCUGGGAGGCCAAGGUGGGAGGAUUGCUUGAGCCUAGGGGUUCAAGGACCAGCCUGGGCAACAGAGUGAGACACCAUCUCUACCAAAAAUAAAAUUAGCUGGGCACGGUGGUGUGCACCUAUAAUUCCAGCUACUUGGGAGGCUGAGAUGGAAGGAUUGCUUGAGUCUGGGAGCUGAGGCUGCAGUAAGCUAUGAUUGUGCCACUGCAAUGCCAGCCUGGGUGACAGAGCAAGAGCCUGUCUCAGAAAAGAUAAAAUAAAAAAAAAAUCUUUAAAAACAUAACUUUAAAUGACUGCUUAAUGCUCCUAGUGGUUUUAUGCUCAUAGUUCAAUUUAUUUAAAUAUCUUGCUAUCAUUGAACAUUUAGAUUUUUCCUUCUAAAUAUUUUCUACUAUAGUAUGUUUUGCUGACACCAUAAGAUUUUACUAUCUUUUUUUUUUUUUUUUUUUUAAUCUUUUUGAGACGGAGUUUCGCUCAUUGCCCAGGCUGGGGUGCAAUGGCGCGAUCUCAGCUCACCGCAAUCUCCGCCUCCUGGGUUCAAGUGAUUCUCCUGCCUCAGCCUCCCGAGUAGCUGGGAUUACAGGCAUGUACCAUCACGCCCGGCUAAUUUUGUAUUUUUAGUAGAGACGGGGUUUCUCCACGUUGGUCAGGCUGGCCUCAAACUCCCAACCUCAGGUGAUCUGCCCGCCUCGGCCUCCCAAAAUGCUGGGAUUACGGACAUGAACCACGGUGCCUGCCCUGAUUUUACUAUCUUUUUAGAGUACUAAACUAAGCAAAAGAACUGGAGACAUUCUAGGGAGGAAAAAAGACAACACAUGAAUAAUGGAAUAUUUUCACCCCUACACACCAUUUUCUUGAAUCAGACAAUGCAUUGUCUACCUAAAACUACAGAGGAACCACACUGACAAAGCUGGGGUUCUUGAAUCAAGAAGGAAGCCAGCAUUGCUGCUUCUAUGUUUACUGUCACUCAGCCAUUGCUACCUGUCAACAAGCUGUAGUACCAGCAAAAGAAGUGGUUUCUUUCAAAGUGCUGAGCUAAAGAUAUGUGUGUGUCUGCGUUUGUCUAAAAACGGCAUACUUAUUUUACUCUAUUGACUUAUUUACAGGAACAGAAGGGACCAUUUUUAAAAUAUAUACUAUUCAAGAAGUCUGUUCAAAGAGCUAGAUGACCUACUUUUAUUUAUUUUUAUUUUUAUUCUCUUUUGAGAAGGAGUCUUGCUCUGUCACCCAGGCUGGAGUGCAGUGGCACAAUCUUGGCUCACUGCAACCUCUGCCUCCCGAGUUCAAGCGAUUCUCUUGCCUCAGCCUCCCAAGUAACUGGAAUUUCAGGCGUGCACCACCGUGCCCAGCUAAUUCUUGUAAUUUUUUUUUUUAAUAGUAGAGAUGGGGUUUCACCAUGUUGGCCAGGCUGGUCUUGAACUCCUGGCCUCAAGUGAUCCGCCAGCUUCGGCCUCCCACAGUGCUGGGAUUUACAGGCAUGAGCCACCGCACCCAGCCUGGAUGACCUACUUUUAAAAAU